rnacentral:rRNA from 1 species
AGCAGUCGCGCGGUAAUACGAAGGGGGCUAGCGGUGCUCGGAUUUACUGGGCGUAAAGGGCGCGUAGGCGGACAGUUAAGUUGGGGGUGAAAGCCCGGGGCUCAACCUCGGAAUCGCCUUCAAUACUGGUUGUCUUGAGUGUGAGAGAGGUGUGUGGAACUCCGAGUGUAGAGGUGAAAUUCGUAGAUAUUCGGAAGAACACCAGUGGCGAAGGCGACACACUGGCUCACUACUGAUGCUGAGGCGCGAAAGCGUGGGGAGCAAACAGGAUUAGAUACCCCCGUAGUCCCUGUCUCUUAUACC